UUGCCUUAAACUAAUGAGUAAGGAAACCAAAGCGAGAGGUGGGAGCUGCUCGCCGCGUCUAACUCAAAAGGUGCGCAAGAAUUUAUGGAGGGGUAAUAGGCUGGCUCAGCGUUGACGCUGCGUUUACUUUGCGCAGAACUCGCUCGAGUGUGCCUC